UACGUAGGGUGCGAGCGUUAAUCGGAAUUACUGGGCGUAAAGCGUGCGCAGGCGGUUAUUUAAGUCAGGUGUGAAAGCCCUGGGCUUAACCUAGGAAUUGCGCUUGAGACUGGAUAGCUUGGAGUGCGGCAGAGGGAGGUGGAAUUCCACGUGUAGCAGUGAAAUGCGUAGAGAUGUGGAGGAACACCGAUGGCGAAGGCAGCCCCCUGGGAUAACACUGACGCUCAUGCACGAAAGCGUGGGGAGCAAACAGG
rnacentral:rRNA from 1 species